rnacentral:rRNA from 1 species
GACGAACGCUGGCGGCGUGCCUAAUACAUGCAAGUCGAACGCAUUUUCUUUCACCGUAGCUUGCUACACCGAAAGAAAAUGAGUGGCGAACGGGUGAGUAACACGUGGGUAACCUGCCCAUCAGCGGGGGAUAACACUUGGAAACAGGUGCUAAUACCGCAUAAUUCCAUUUACCGCAUGGUAGAUGGAUGAAAGGCGCUUUUGCGUCACUGAUGGAUGGACCCGCGGUGCAUUAGCUAGCUGGUGGGGUAACGGCCUACCAAGGCUGCGAUGCAUAGCCGACCUGAGAGGGUGAUCGGCCACACUGGGACUGAGACACGGCCCAGACUCCUACGGGAGGCAGCAGUAGGGAAUCUUCGGCAAUGGACACAAGUCUGACCGAGCAACGCCGCGUGAGUGAAGAAGGUUUUCGGAUCGUAAAACUCUGUUGUUAGAGAAGAACAAGGAUGAGAGUGGAAAGUUCAUCCCUUGACGGUAUCUAACCAGAAAGCCACGGCUAACUACGUG